ACCCAUAUGGACUAUUAACUAGGAAACAAGUUUACCAGGGCUUGUUUUGUCCUCAUUAUAAAUCAUCACUCCAUGUUGCCACAGAAGCAAUUUCUGCAUGAUCCAUGAGAGUUUCCUCAUGGAUUUAAGGUUCCGGGAUUUUAUAGAUUGAGAAGAUAGAAUAAUUGACAUGAAGAAUGAACAUUGCAAUUAGAAGGUGGUGGUGGUGCUGCUGCUGUUGUUCAAUUGUUUCUCGAUUAUCAUGACAGAAAGCAUGGAGUGGUUUACUAUUUCCUUCUCCAGCUGGGUUUACAGAUUUAGAAAAAAAGACAAAAACUGAGGCAAACAGGGAUUGAUGGAAGGAUCAGAGAUUUUAAGUUGAAGAGGCCCUUGAAGGAAGGUCGUCUAGUUCAACUUCAGAGCAUGUCAAUGUGGAGAAUGAUUUGUUCCUGAAUGCACUAAACUGCACAAGUAUACUUAAUGUAUUUCUCUAGAUAAAGAUAAUCCAUGCAGGAUUCUAUGUUUCCGUGGCAGUUAUCAUCCUCUUCAUCCUCCCAUGGGAAGAAAAUGGAUCAGCUGAAGCUUGAAUUUCCUUCAUUUCCCUACUCUGAUUGCAGGUGGAUUAAAUAGUGACAUCUAGACAAGGAUUUCUACACUACGUUAAAGAUAAGAAAAUUCUCAUCUCUGCAAAGAAGUGAGUUCUCUUGCCUGGACUGUACCAAUCUGAAGAAAUCGCAAAAUUUCUGGGAAGACUGAAUUUCAUAGACACAUAAAACAGAAACAUUCUUUUUAAAUUCAUGUGGCUCUCAUAGAAAUAUUUGGCUUUAUUAUUUGCGUACGCACAGUGAAACAAGUGACAAAAUGAAACCCUGUGACCACUAGCAUAAAUGGGGACAUGAAAGAAGUCAGUUUCUCAUCAAUUCUCUUCACAGGGGAAAAAAUGUGUAAUUCUAACUACAGAGAUGCCAUGGAAACUUAAGUGUCAUUUGGGGGUUAAACAAGCCUUGAAAUAUCAAUGAGUAGAAAGAAAAAAGCAGCAUUAUUCAUCUUCCUUAUUGCUAAAAUUAGCAAAGACACCAAAGCUAUCUAUAACAAAUGUCAUUGUCCUUUCCUUCCUUCACCAAGAGGUCUAAGUUCCUUAAAGUGCUGUUGGCAUUGAUUAAGUGCAUUAGCAACUACUUUUAUUAAUACACAUUAUGAAUAUAACAUAUUCUAGUCUCACUAAACAGACAGUUAUGUAUUAUUUGCUCCAUUUUAUAUUAUCUUACUUUUUCUUGCCCUGUAAAUUCAACCCUCUCCUAUUUUUCAUUUUGCUGAUAAAAAGGGCUGUUUAUUAGGCUCAAUAUAAAUGAAAUUUGGCCUUUACAAGGAUGAAAUUCUAAGUUAACUUCCCAGGUGUUAAGAGAUGGAGUGAGGAACAAUGUUUUAUUAGCCAUUCUAUUAUCCUCAACAUCCAGCUCAGAAAAGCAGAUGGAGUAGUUGGCACAUAGAUGACCCAGAUGGACCAGAGACCAUUUUGGUGCUUUCAAAGUACAGCUCAAAAAUCCCAUAUACUAUCAAUAUUUGGUAAGAAUUACUGUAUUUUUAUGAAUAUAUAUAUGAAAGAAAUCUGGGGCAUUAGCCGUUGGAUUUCCCAUUUAUAAUCAAAGGAGAUCAUUGUUUAUGUUGAUUUAGCAAAACAAACAUGCUGUUUUACAACCUCCGAGUUCUUAAUAUAGCUAUGUGGAAAAUGAUGUUUUCUCUAAUGGUUAUCCAAGUAUACUGCAGAAGUCUCGGUCACAAAACAUAAACUCAUGAAUUAAUAUGAUCUAUAAUUAAUGGGACUAUCAUAAUUAAUGAAUCUAUUUACAUUACUGUAUCCAUAUGAAUUAGUUUAUAAAUUUAAAUUUUUAAUUGUACACAAUAGAAGGGGUGGGGGAAUGAGUUUCUUGAGUCUUUCCUAUAUCGUUUAAAAAAAUCAAAAUGUUCCUGUAGGAGGCCCAGCGGUUGGAGUAUAAAUUUAGGAAGACCUGAAUUUAAUUCUGGCCUCAGACACUCAGUACCUAUGUGACCCUGGGCAAGUCACUCAUUUGCCUUAAUCCACUGGAGAAAUAAAUAGAAAACCACAACAAUAUUCUUGCAAAACAUCAACAAAAACAUGGACAAUAUUGGUUUGCUAUGAUCCAUUGGGGUCAUAAAGAGUCAUACAGUACAAGGAACAAAAUAUGUUUGCUUCUGGGAAUACAAUGACAAAUAACAUAACCCUUGUCCUCAAAGAGUUUCCAUUACAGCUGCUAAGUGGCACAGUGGAUUUAGUGCCUGACCUGAAAUCAGGAAGAUUCUUCUUCCUUAAUUCAAAUCUGACCACAAGUACUUCUUAGCUGUGUGACCCUGGGCAAGUCACUUAACCCUAUUUGCCUCAAUUACCUCAUCUGUAAAAAGAUCUGGAGAAGAAAAUGACAAACCAUUCCAGGAUCUUUACCAAAAUAUCCCCAAAUAUGGUCACGAAGAUUUGGACGCUAGAGAAAAACAACUUAACAACAGCAAAAUGUUCAUUACAUUUAUAAUUAAAAAUUGAAUAGAAAUUGAUGCUUUAAAUUGUCUAAAACUUUAAAUUGUCUAAACUUAAUUUUAAGCCAAUUUGGGUUUUAAUAGGCUAAUUAAAGAUUUUCUUUUGAUUCUGUUCUACUUUUGAAACAAUACAAGAAGAAUAAACUUACAAAAAGUCCCCAAGUUGGAAGAGAAAAUAUCUGUUAUUAAAUUGAGAUAGUCUGAAUGGAAAAAUACAUAUAUAUAUAUCUAAACAAAUAUGCUAAGGAAAACGGGGAUAUAUUACUUAUUAUUAUAGAAAAUAUUUCUCUAACCAUCUCAAAUUCUUAACAAUAUAAAUCAAAAAGUUUAGCUUCAAAAUGGAUAGAUAAAUAAUAUUUGAUGUAAAAGUAUUACAACACAUAAUCCUCCUUUAUCUAUUCAUAUAUAGUCAUUUCCAUUUUCCAAUGAAGAUAAUAAAGUUAUCUGAUUCAUUUAAGAUCAAACAUAAAGUUUAUAAUGAAUACAUGGAAUUCUGGGGAAAUUGGAAACCAAGAUCCAUUACAACUACCACAGGGUUCUAUUUAGUUCAUCUCCAUGGGAAUCCCAGAGGAUGAUACAUAAGGAACACAGUUCAAUAUUGUUCUAACAAAUAGAACUUUGAAUACCUUCAAUAUAGAAACCAUGCUUGCAAUUCAAGACCACACUUAUUUUUAGUUCAUAAAAUGUGAUUUUCUAACAGAAAUGACGAUAGUUAACAGCAAGUUUUAUUUUUAAUGGGAAGUAAGGAGUUCCCAGUGAGGACACUACCUUUGCUAGGAUAGAUCGUCAUCCUAUAUUCUUCCAGACACCUUAUUCACUGAAGAGUGAAGGAACAUGUGUUGCUUUCCAUAAACUGUAUAUGUUUUGAAGCAGGAUAUGAGUAUAGAUUUUCUUGACUCUGAGGUAUGUCAUCAUCAUUACUAAUAUUUAUAUUAAGCUUGAAAUUUUGCAGAAUACUUUACAUAUUUUUUUUUCUUAUUUGAUCCCCAAACAACAGUAUAUAGGUUUUAUUAUCUCCAUUUUACGGAUGGGGAAACUAAUUAGGAAAUUAAGUAACUUUCCCAGAGUUCCCAAUCUAGUCAGUGUUUUAAGUAGGAUUCACACUCGGGUUUUCAUUGCUCAGGGUCCAUCACUCUAUCCACUAAAUGGCCCAGCUGUCCAACAUCUAGCAUAUGAUAUCACUGGCAUGCUGUCUCUCAGUAAACCGUAGUCUAUACAGGCAAACACAAUGGUUUGAAGGCAUCUCAGUGUAUACCUGAAAAGGUCUUGUGUUUUUGAUGUCCCCAACAAGUGGUCAUUCAUUUCUUCUUGACAACUCCUGGGAAGAUGUACCUAACAUCUCCUAAUGCUACCCAUUACAUCGUGAAGUAGUUCUAAUUAAGAUUUUUUUCUUUUCAUCAAACUGAAAUAAUUUGUCUCAACAAAUUCCAUUCAUUUCACCUAGUUCUACUCAAUGGAGUCAUAUAUAUAUUUAUAUAUGGAUGGAUAUAUACAUAUAUGUGUCAUAUAUUUAUAUGCAUGUACAUAUAUGUGUGUCUGUGUAUACAUACAUAUAAAUAUGUAUAUAUAUAUAUAUAUACACAGAUACAUACACACAUAGCCAUCUUACAUUUAAUAGGCCUUCAUAAACUUGAAGGCAACUAUCAUGUCCCCUAUCCCCUGUUCAAUCCUUCCAUCAUGCACAGCUUUUAGUGACCCCGCGGAUUUGUACAAGGGAGUUUUAUUGCCACAGAUCCUGGAGUGAUUUGUCAUUACCUUCUCCAGUGUGUCCCCAUUUUACAGAAGAGGAACUGACACAAAUAGAAAUUAUGACUACAACUAAUAAGUGGCAGAGGUCAAGUAUUAGCUCAGACUUCUUGUUUUAUCCACUGUUCCAUCCAGCUGCCUCCUGCGCUUCUCCAUGCUAAAUAUCCCUAGUUUGCUUGAACUCAGUCUCCAUUUCCAUCGUUUCCAUGUCCUCCUGCUUUUCAAUGCCCUUCCCAAAAGGUAGCAUCUUCUUGGACUGAGUACAGUGACCACCUGGUGUCUGGAAAGACCAGAUACCAGCAGUACAGUCGAGAUGUGGUACUGAGAAGCGUGUUCUGAUGAUAAUAUUGACGAUAGAAUCCAGAUACUGUCAGAGGACCUGUUAAGGAUAAGUCACAAUGAAUGGCCUCUCUACUGAACUUACGAGGUCUCCAGGGCAAACAAAUCUUGCACUGUUUAACAGCCUUCUCCUGGGAAGCUACUAUAUGUCAAUGUUCUGUGGUGGCCACUAGAAUAACAAAUACAGGGAAUGAAACAGUCUUACAUUCAAGGAGAAGCUUCCCAAUGGAUGGUCAUUUGUACCCCCGUCCAAAUACAUUCUCAAUUUUUUAAAAAAUGUAGUUAGCAUUUUUCAUUACCUAAAGCAUUCUAUCAUCUCUUUAAUCUCAGAAAUUUAGGCAUUUCCCACAAAAAUAAAAAUCACAAAUUCCUCCAUGCUUGCCCAUCCUAUGUGACUGAUCAGUUUACUGUAGCAGAACCAGCUGCCAUUCUGGACCUUCUCUGCUUUUACUUGAUAAAAGUUGGAGCUGCCUUCUCAACAGGGUACAAUAAAAAUGUCAUGUUCCAGCUUUCCUCUUGCCAUAAUAUCAGGUCUUUUCUUUCAUUCUCAGAUAUUUAUUUCUUGACUUACUUUACUCUGUUUCUCCUUCAAAAUCUCUUCUUUAAAAUAUAAUGCAUUCAUUCUUAGCACAUAUUUCUCCAUUUCUCUCAAAGCUAUUCUCCUUUUUAGUCCUUUACAAACUGCAGUGCUCCAAGACUCAGAGACUUACAACAGCAUCAUUGAGUUGUUGGCGCUAAGAAAAGAUUGAUAUUUCUCAUAGGGAAAAUGUUUUGGGUAUCCAGCAUGCUUUGCUGAUUGUGUGCAAUUAUUCAUUAUUAGGAGGUGAAAUCACAAAGAGGUAUAAAAUCAAAAGUAGUGAUGAAUUCUCCACAUACUAUUUCUAAGCAUUUUAUAAACAAUUUAUUUUUAAAAGGUAUUUAAAAAAAAUUCUUACCUCUUGUCUUAGAAUCAAAAUUGUGUAUUGGUUCCUAUGCAGAAGAGUGGAAAGGACUAGGCAAUGGGGUUUAAGUGACUUACCCAAGGUCACACAGCUGGGAAGUGUCUGAGGCCAAAUCUGAACUUAGGAUGUCCCAUCUCUAUGCCUGGCUCUCAAUACACUGAUCCACCCAGUUGCCCCUUAAAAGGUAUUUUUCAAAAUUUUAAUGCCUCCACAUGCCAAUAAAUAUUGGUUUUCAGUGUUUUGGAAGGGGAAAAUGUGAAAAUUAAUAGUUACUCUCAAAAUAAAGAUAAAGAUUCAUAGUAUGGCCAAAUUCCAUACAUUUUAAACUUGCUAACCUCAUCCCAUUUCCCCUUGCCAAUAUGCAGAAAAACAGCUGAGCAUGAGUUAAGAUGGAAGGAAGACUAAAUCUAAUGUAAUUAAAGCGUAAAAUUCAAAUCAUGACAACAUGUGUGACGUAAUGGAAAAAGAAUAGGAAUUCAAGUCAUAGAAAGUUGAAAUUGAAUUUGACUCAAACACCUAUUAGUUGUAUAAUCCUGGGAAUGUCACUUAAUCUCUCAGCCUCAGUCUUCUCAUAUGUAAAAUGGAGACCAUGUCAUCAUUUACCUCACAGAGUUGCUGUAAACAUCAAUUUAGAUAUAUAAAGGGUUUUGCAAACACCAAAGCAGUAUGUAAACAUUAGGUGACAUCAUCAUCAUCAUCAUCAUCAUCAUCAUCAUCAUCAUCAUCAUCAUCACAAAUUCGAUACUAAGGGCCUCCUUUGCUCCAGUAACCAAGGAGAGAAAGACAAUCCAAGAGUCAUUGUCCUGAAGGAAGUUACCUUCUAUUAAACUUCUCAAAUAUGAUUCCCCCACAAAUGCUCUAUAUUCUAGUAAAUUCUACUCACUGCUCUCUAGUCAAAAUAUUACUUGUCCUGACUUCAUGCUUUUGGACAUCUUGAUUUCCCACGUAAGCAAUAUUCUCCUUCGCUUCUCAUUCUUGAAAUUCCUGGCUCCAUUCAGGAUUCAGGUAAAACAGCAACUAUUUAAAGGAGCUUGUCCUAAUUGGCCUGGAGGCUUGUUUGCUUUUCCCAUAUGAAUCACUUUAUUAUGUGUGUACAUAUGUGAAUCAAUUGGACAAUAUGUUAUGUCAUCCCCUGCAAUCAAUCAAUAGUAAAUUCCUUGAGGGCAAGGACUGUCUCAGGGUGUUUUAUCACCAGCACUUAACACUUUGGCCAUAUAAAUAACUGCUUGCUCAUUGAUACUAAGGUGAAACAUUUUGUACAGGGAUAUGCAACAAAGUAAAGUGUAUACAAUGUAAUUGCACAACAGAAACUGGUGGGGAAGAGCAGUGUUCAGAAUAGUCAAUGUUUUGAGGAUAUUUUCUAUCGGCAAUGCACAUUUCCAUUUCUUUACGUCAUACUACCAUGAGACUCAUCAGAGUUCAAAACAAACAAAAAAACACAAGAAAAUGAAAACAGAGUGCCAAGGACCAUCUGGUGAAGAAACUCUCUCAACAUACUCAUGUAAGUUCUUGAUUAAUAUCCUGUUGUGUCCAGGAGUAGAUGCAAAAUCUUCCCAGUUUGGCAAAACAUCUGAUGCGUUAGGAGGGAAUGGUUUAAAGUAUGGAGGGAUAGAUCUUUGGCCAUCCAGCCUUCAAAGAGGUUCACCACCACCAUGGCCAUAGGGUUUAUCAACUAUGGCAGCUUUCAAAAACUAUCUUUUGGGUAAUAGAGAUCUUUGAUCUUCAAUGUGGAGGAGAGAUCCACAGCAACAGAAGCGCAGGAUUCAUACAUUCUCUAACCAUAUAAAAGCACAUAGUUUGGCUUUGGCUUUCUUAGAUUAUUUUAAGGGCUUCAUUGAAGACUCCUUAAAAAAAUUCUUAGCUUCUUCUCCUCCAACUGUCCAUAGUCAAAUGAUAUAUUCACCAUAACAAGUAACACUAUAAACUUCUGCUUCUAAAUCUGAUCUUAUGUAUGAUUUAGGCCAAGUCAUUUAAACACUCUGGGUUCUAGUUUCUCUAGAUCUAAAAUGAGAGGAUGUUGAGGCUCAUCCUAGCUCUUUGUGGUUUCUUUCUAAGAAUCAAAAGGCCUGGCUGGAAGAAUCUUUCUAUAUCACUAAGACAUUGAUCAUGGUGAAAAGUAUCCAAAUAGACAAAUCGUUCAGUCACUCAUUAAUAAUUAAUAAUAUAUAUAUGCCAGCCACUCUGCUAAGUGCUAGCAUACCGAGAAAGGCCAAAGGCAGUCCCUUCUCCUAGAAGCUCACAAUCUAAUGGAGGAGACAACAGGCAAGCAAACAAUUAUCAUGCAUACACAUACAUAUACUUAUAUAUUUAUCUAUGUGCAUGUAUAUAUUAUAAAAGUUAGUACAGCUAAGGUAUUAACAUAAAUGGAGAACUAUGAAGCUCUUAUAACUUCGAAGAUGAAUUUCAUCUCAUUUAUUAAGGACACCAUGACGUGACGAAAAAUUGUCAACUAGACCCUGUUGAGCUCUGGUCUUCAAAAUUAAGGGGCAGAGAAAUAGUUUGGAGAUGAGUAGGGCAACUAACUAUGAAAUACCCAAGACUGGGAAAGUAUUUAAGUGAGAUACAUUCUAAAAAUAAUCAAAUGAGUGAAGAAAUGAAAGCUAAAUAAAUUAAUAAAUAUAUGAACCAAAAUCUGCAUUUGAAUAAAUAUGAGUAAAUUGUGAGGCUAAAUAGAAUCCAGAUGAAUGUGAACCUUUUUUUUUAUAUUCUUAUUCCUUUCACUUGCAGCUCUAUGACAUCCCUUUUCCUGAUAAAUGGCUGCACAUUGUUUGAUUUCCACUAUUCUUUUAUAGAAAUUUACACUUUUACAAAUUCAUAAAGCUAUAAGUUAUUUAUGAGAAGUAUUUGGGUGAGCAAAGGGAAAGUAUAAGAGAAAAUAACCCUACAUUUGGGAUCAGAAAAUGUGGAUUUGAAUAACUUCUUCUUAGACAUCUUCAGCCAGAGGCUGGAUGUCCACUGUUUUGGUAUGUUCUAGGAGAAUUCCUUUUAGGUUGCUUAGCUAUUGAGAUUUCUUCUAAUAAAAAUCUUCAAGUCGA